GACCCAGGACCAUAGAGCUUGGGAAGGAACCACCCUGCAGACUGCCUGAGAAGUGAACCUGCCCUUAGUGAUGGGGAGAAGACAACCUGUAUCCGCUCCCCACACCCACUGCAACCCACCGUCAUGGUGUUCAGCACUGCUCAGCACAGUGGCAUCAGCAGAAUGAAACGUGACAAUUAGUCAAGGUGGAUGCUGCCUGCCAGACCAUUCCCCCAGACUACGAAGUAUCCCUGAACACUAUGGACAUCAGAGAUAGAAUAUUUUCAAUAUUGAUACUAUCAAGAAGCCACC